rnacentral:rRNA from 1 species
CCUACGGGGGGCUGCAGUGGGGAAUUUUGGACAAUGGGCGAAAGCCUGAUCCAGCCAUGCCGCGUGAGUGAAGAAGGCCUUCGGGUUGUAAAGCUCUUUCGCAAGAGCUACGGUACUGUAAGAAGAAGCACCGGCUAACUACGUGCCAGCAGCCGCGGUAAUACGUAGGGUGCGAGCGUUAAUCGGAAUUACUGGGCGUAAAGGGUGCGCAGGCGGUUAUAUAAGACAGAUGUGAAAUCCCCGGGCUCAACCUGGGAACUGCGUUUGUGACUGUAUGACUAGAGUACGGUAGAGAGGGGUGGAAUUCCUGGUGUAGCAGUGAAAUGCGUAGAUAUCAGGAGGAACAUCGAUGGCGAAGGCAGCCCCUUGACUGUACUGACGCUCAUGCACGAAAGCGUGGGGAGCAAACAGGAUUAGAUACCCUUGUAGUC